rnacentral:rRNA from 1 species
UAGUGCCUACGGGGCGCAGCAGUAGGGAAUUUUCGUCAAUGGGCGCAAGCCUGAACGAGCAAUGCCGCGUGAACGAGGAAGGUCUUCGGAUCGUAAAGUUCUGUUGAAGGGGAAAAAGAGCGGAGAGAGGAAAUGGUCUCCGAUUGAUAUUACCCUUCGAGGAAGUCACGGCUAACUACGUGCCAGCAGCCGCGGUAAUACGUAGGUGGCGAGCGUUAUCCGGAAUGAUUGGGCGUAAAGGGUGCGUAGGCGGGACGGUAAGUCAGCGGUAAAAAUGCGGAGCUCAACUCCGUCGAGCCGUUGAA